GCGCCGGUGGUCUAAUGGCAUGACAACGGCCUUCCAAGCCGUUUAUCCGGGUUCGAAUCCCGGCCGGCGCA
rnacentral:tRNA from 1 species